AUUGAACGCUGGCGGCAGGCCGAACACAUGCAAGUCGAACGAGUGGCGGACGGGAGAGUUAUGUCUGGGAAACUGCCUGAUGGAGGGGGAUAACUACUGGAAACGGUAGCUAAUACCGCAUACCAUCAGAUGUGCCCAGAGGGGAUUAGCUAGUUGGGGGGGUAACGGCUCACCCAGGCGACGAUCCCUAGCUGGUCUGAGAGGAUGACCAGCCACACUGGAACUGAGACACGGUCCAGACUCUGACGGGAGGCAGCAGUGGGGAAUAUUGCACAAUGGGCGCAAGCCUGAUGCAGCCAUGCCGCGUGUAUGAAGAAGGCCUUCGGGUUGUAAAGUACUUUCAGCGGGGAGGCGUUACCAGCAGAAGAAGCACCGGCUAACUCCGUGCCAGCCGCCGCGGUAAUAC
rnacentral:rRNA from 1 species